UUUUAAAGACAGUGUCAACGUAUUUUUUACGUCAAGUUGAUGUUAUUUAAAGGUUUCACCUUUUUCCCCUAUUCAUAUGCUAUUAUUUAUUUAUAUACACCAUAAAUUAGACAAAUAUAAUAGAAUAUUUUAAAAAACUAUAUAUAAAUUAUAUAUACAAAGAAGCUCAUCCGACAACACAAGGCGCUGAAUGUUGAAAGACGAACACUCAAAAAAGAUGUGAUGUAGUGUUUGAACCUUUUGCAAUUGACAAUAAUCACAAUAUGCUGAGCUGACCAUUUUGAGACGAUGAAGAACCAAGGUACAGUAUUAACUUGGACAUCGAGAGUAUUAAACCAUGAACCCACAUUUUCAUUGUGCACACAAUUAUAUGAAUGUCUCCCCCACGCUUCACACAUGCGUUGCCUUAAGAGACUAACUACAUCUGUGUAAGUGCACUCAAGAUUGCAACAGCUUCAGCUGUAAAAAUACUAGCAUUUUUGUCAAUUUUCAUGCCUAUACCGAUAUUUGAAGUAGGCUCAUAAAUAGCAAAAGAAGCCGCUCUAUCAUUCUUGGAACCAUCAGUAUAUACAAAUUUGUGAUCUGACCACUCUGACAACAUAUUAUACACAUCCUCUUUAGAAGACAAUUCUUUUCUCUUCUUUAUAAUGACAGUUAUAGCUGGAAAUUUACUACUAAAUGAACCUUCAUAACAAGGCAGGAUAUGUUUUGAUUGAUGAAUGUUAAUAUUUUCAAUAAAAGCUUUAAAUUUUUUAAGACUUUGUAAUAUAUAAAAAGGUUUUAAAGUAGUAUGUGUAGCUAAAUGUACAAGAUUGUUUAAAAGACUAUUACCAGAAACACUAUAAAGCUUCAGAAAGAAUCUUUCCAAUAAGAAAUCAAAACGAAUAGCUAGAGGUGCAACAUUGCAUUCAAUCUGCAAAGCAUUCACAGGAGUACUUCUGAAUGCCCCAGUAAUAACCCGCAAACAUUUGUUUUGCAAAAUAUUUAAACUAUUUACAUGUUUUGAAUCUGCAGCAAAGCAAUAAAAACCAUAUUCAAAGUGACUACGUACUAAAGAUUUAUAUAACAAUAAUAAUAUUUUUGGGUCUGCUCCCCAGUAAGUUCCACUCAAGGAUUUUAAAACAUUAAAACCUCUAUUUGCUUUGGCAACAAUAUUCCUAAUGUAAUUACUCCAGGACAAAUUGUGUGUAAAUAUAACUCCCAAAAAUCUAACUUCAAGAGAGCUGGGUAAUGCACAAUUAUGAUACAACACAGCGGGUAAAUUAUGGUUCCGCUUACCGAAAACGACUACUUUGGACUUUAAUGGAUUGAUAGUGAGAUCAAGGUAAGAGAAGUAAUUGUGCAAAUGUGUUAAUGCAACAUUGACUGUCUCAACUACUUGCGAAAUGUUCUUCCCAGAUGAAUAAACCACAAGAUCAUCUGCAAACUGUAGAUUUUUAACUUGAGCCCCUAAAAUUAAAUUUAAUCUAUGUAUAUACAAUAUAAAUAUUAAAGGUGACAAUAUUCCACCUUGACAAACUCCCUUAGCCGAUAGUCUAGGACCAUAAAGGUGCCUAUUAAAUUUUACGAAUACUUCCCUAUUAUUAAGGAAAUUUGAUAGCCAAUUAAUGAUUUUUCCCGGAAUCCCUAUCUGUGAUAACUCAUCACAUAGAAUAUCUAUAUUUACACUAUUAAAUGCACCUGCAACAUCAAAGAACACUCCAACCAGAUUUUCAUUUGCUGUUAUGGAUUUAUAAAUAUCAAGCUGCAGUUGACAAAUACUUUCACGAGCGGAACGAUUCCUACGAAAACCAAAUUGAUUUGAUGGGAUGUGAUAACUGCUACCAAGAGGACAAUCAUGUACGUUCCAUUCACAAUUCAGCGCUAAAGAUGAUGAAACUAAUGUCAAAUCCAACGCAUUAGGACGCCAAGUCAAGGAGCCAACAGUAGUUGGUUGACCAUCAUUGAGCAGAACCAAAUUAUUAUCAUCAAUAACCUGUAGAAUACUACGCCCACGCACAGAGUCCGAGCCACAGCCCCAAGAUGUGUGAUGAGCAUUAAAAUCACCAGCCAAUAUGAAAGGUUCAGGAAUAGAUUUUAUUAAUAGAUCCAAUUUUUCCUUUGAGAAUUGCGGAUUACAAUUCAAAGGACUAUAAAGACUGACUAUACAUAACUCUUUGUUAUUUACUUUUAUUUUAACACAAAUAUUUUGUAAUGAGUUAUCACAGAAGGUUUUAAUUUGAGUAUAAUUAAUACUUUUAUGAAUGAUUAUUGCAACGCCAUUAUGUUUGUUACCAAUAUCAUUUCUUUCAAUAUUAUAAUGUUUAAUUUUAAAAUCGUGUUGCGGUUUUAACCACGUUUCACUAAUGAUUGCCAGAUGAAUAUUGUGUCUAUAAAGAAAGUCAAUAAAUAUAUGUUUGUUACUAUUUAAGCUUUGUGCAUUCCAUUGGACAAUAUUCAAUUCCGAAAUAUCCAUUAACAGGCAGAAGAAAAUUUAUCACAUAAAGUUGAUUUGAGAGCUUCUUUAAUCGACAUUGAAUUAAUGGGUGUUUGUUUAUUGCUUAAUAUUUUCGUAAGUGUUUCCACUAAUGUAUUUAUAAAUUUGUCUGAUUUCAUAAGAUUAUUUAUUUGCGUAUCAAUAUUGCGUGCCGUUAGAGCUGGGAAUGAAUUCACAUUAAAAAGGUCUGAAUAAGUGGCGUUUCGAGAUUUUAUUUUAUUUUCCUCUACCUGCUGUUUUUUAAUUGGACAAGCUGAAGAUAUUGCAAUGUGAUUGCCCUUGCAAUUUGCACAUUUGGCAUCCUGCGGAGCAACGUUACAUUUUUUAAAAUUGUGUUGCUCAGAACAGAUCGAGCAGACUUCCGAGUUUUUACAAAAUUUGGCGAUAUGCCCAUAUCGCAUGCAUUUAAGGCAUUGCUUAACAGGAGGGAUAUAUUUAUUUACCUCAUGCCGCCAAGAAUCCAAAUAUAUGUACUGCGGUAAGAUGGUUGAGGCAAAAGUAACCGCUACUGCCUGCGUAGGAACGAAAGAGAACUUACCUCCAUCACCUCUUACCCUGCGCAUGAAACGCCUUACCUGGAUGACAUUUUUUGAACUACCAAUCAACGAA
rnacentral:lncRNA from 1 species